UACGUAGGGUGCGAGCGUUGUCCGGAAUUAUUGGGCGUAAAGAGCUCGUAGGCGGUUUGUUGCGUCGGCCGUGAAAACCUGCAGCUUAACUGUGGGCCUGCGGCCGAUACGGGCAGACUUGAGUUCGGUAGGGGAGACUGGAAUUCCAGGUGUAGCGGUGAAAUGCGUAGAUAUCUGGAGGAACACCGGUGGCGAAGGCGGCAUCCUGGACCGGCAUUGACGCUGAGGCGCGAAAGCCAGGGGAGCAAACGGG
rnacentral:rRNA from 1 species